rnacentral:rRNA from 1 species
GACGAACGCUGGCGGCGUGCUUAACACAUGCAAGUCGAACGGAAAGGCCCUGCUUGCAGGGUACUCGAGUGGCGAACGGGUGAGUAACACGUGGGUGAUCUGCCCUGCACUUCGGGAUAAGCCUGGGAAACUGGGUCUAAUACCGGAUAGGAGCCAUUUUUAGUGUGAUGGUUGGAAAGUUUUUUCGGUGUAGGAUGAGCUCGCGGCCUAUCAGCUUGUUGGUGGGGUAAUGGCCUACCAAGGCGGCGGCGGGUAGCCGGCCUGAGAGGGUGGACGGCCACAUUGGGACUGAGAGACGGCCCAGACUCCUACGGGAGGCAGCAGUGGGGAAUAUUGCACAAUGGGCGCAAGCCUGAUGCAGCGACGCCGCGUGGGGGAUGACGGCCUUCGGAUUGUAAACUCCUUUCGCUAGGGACGAAGCUUUUUGUGACGGUACCUAGAUAAGAAGCACCGGCUAACUACGUG